CGGCGCGCUGCUGCCGCUCCGCCGCCGCCAGCGCUCUGUGCCUCAAAAUGGCGGCUGCGUGGCAAAUGGCUCCGAAUAACCCCGGUCUUUCUCUGAGCAAGGGCUCGAUUCGGUGA
rnacentral:lncRNA from 1 species